rnacentral:rRNA from 1 species
GACGAACGCUGGCGGCGUGCUUAACACAUGCAAGUCGAACGGAAAGGCCCUGCUUUUGUGGGGUGCUCGAGUGGCGAACGGGUGAGUAACACGUGAGUAAACUGCCCUUGACUUUGGGAUAACUUCAGGAAACUGGGGCUAAUACCGGAUAGGAGCUCCUGCUGCACGGUGGGGGUUGGAAAGUUUCGGCGGUUGGGGAUGGACUCGCGGCUUAUCAGCUUGUUGGUGGGGUAGUGGCUUACCAAGGCUUUGACGGGUAGCCGGCCUGAGAGGGUGACCGGCCACAUUGGGACUGAGAUACGGCCCAGACUCCUACGUGAGGCAGCAGUGGGGAAUAUUGCACAAUGGGCGGAAGCCUGAUGCAGCAACGCCGCGUGCGGGAUGACGGCCUUCGGGUUGUAAACCGCUUUCGCCUGUGACGAAGCGGGAGUGACGGUAAUGGGUAAAGAAGCACCGGCUAACUACGUG